rnacentral:rRNA from 1 species
UACGUAGGGUGCAAGCGUUAAUCGGAAUUACUGGGCGUAAAGCGUGCGCAGGCGGUUGUGCAAGACAGAUGUGAAAUCCCCGGGCUUAACCUGGGAAUUGCAUUUGUGACUGCACGGCUAGAGUGUGUCAGAGGGGGGUAGAAUUCCACGUGUAGCAGUGAAAUGCGUAGAGAUGUGGAGGAAUACCGAUGGCGAAGGCAGCCCCCUGG